GUGUGAGCUUUAACCUAUGUAUCAUUAACGAAAGCCCUGACGGGGAGUUUCAAGAAAAUAUAUCUGCAGUGGCCAGUCGUGAUCUUUAAAGCUGAGCAAGAUACCAAGGGUUGUGAGCAUGAAGUGCAUUCAGCUUGUCCUUAUUUUCUGGCUGAGUUACAGGAACUGCCAAGGUAGUCARGACUAUGAAGUGAUUUAUCCUGAAAGACUGGACAACGACCGUGUCAAGCGAGAUCUGUCCACAAAUACAGAUGUAA